rnacentral:rRNA from 1 species
GACAGAGGAUGCAAGCGUUAUCCGGAAUGAUUGGGCGUAAAGCGUCUGUAGGUGGUUUAUUAAGUCUACUGUUAAAGAUCAGGGCUUAACCCUGAGCAGGCAAUAGAAACUAAUAGGCUAGAGUACGGUAGGGGCAGAGGGAAUUCUCGGUGUAGCGGUGAAAUGCGUAGAUAUCGAGAGGAACACCUGCGGCGAAGGCGGGUUGCUGGGCUGAUACUGACGCUGAGGCGCGAAAGCCGGGUGGGCGCAAACAGGG